AUUGAACGCUGGCGGCAGGCCUAACACAUGCAAGUCGAACGAGUGGCGGACUGGUGAGUAAUGUCUGGGAAACUGCCCGAUGGAGGGGGAUAACUACUGGAAACGGUAGCUAAUACCGCAUACCAUCAGAUGUGCUCAGAUGGGAUUAGCUAGUUGGUGGGGUAACGGCUCACCAAGGCGACGAUCCCUAGCUGGUCUGAGAGGAUGACCAGCCACCCUGGGACUGAGACACGGUCGAGACUCCGACGUGAGGCUGCAGCGGCGAAUAUUGCACAAUGGGCGCAAGCCUGAUGCAGCCAUGCCGCGUGUAUGAAGAAGGCCUUCGAGUUGUAAAGUACUUUCAUCGGGGAUGCGUUACCCGCAGAAGAAGCACCGGCUAACUCCGUGCCAGCAGCCGCGGUAAUUC
rnacentral:rRNA from 1 species